CCUCAUACCUAUGGAAAACAGAGGUUGGACCGAAUGCAUAAUGUGAAAUAUCCUAUGGAAAAUAGAGGUUGGACCGAAUGCAUCUACUGUCAAUCUUUCGGAUUUCUUAUGAAAAACUCGAAACCGAGUGAGCCCCUAGUCCUCUUCGUAUCAUCAAAAUUUCAAUUCUUGUUAAAAGUAUUGAAAUUAAAUUAAUGAAAAAAACACGAAAAUGCUGAAAUAGAUCUUAAAAAGAAAGUUGUGCCACCAUGUUUCACGAUGACUAGGCACUUAUAAUAUAAGAGGAGGCAAUCAUGCACUUUUAUGGGUGUGGUGGGAAAUCGAUUUUGUUGGAUGCAUUCGUGGGGUUUGGUACGGUUUGGUGUUGGUUGGGCGCGAGAAAUGCAAAUCAUUGCUUGUAGCUUUCGGUAUAUACUUCACCAAAAUGGUGGGGGUGCAUCUUCUACACUCAUCUCAGUGGACGGUCAUGGUAAAUUUUAAUUUCGAUUAUAUCAUAGCUAUUUUUUUUACUGAUCUUUUAAAUAAAAGUUGUAUGUUUUCAAGUUGAGUAAAAUCCAUCCGCUAUCCUACUGGAGUAUUAUUGUUAUUGUUGAUAUGUCAAGUUAGUCUCGAAAUUACAAAACUACGUAUCUAUGCAACUUUUGUUAAGUUAUUUAGUGCAAGUCUUAGAUUCACUCGGGAGAUGCCAACUGUCUCACGUGGCACUUUGACCACGAACACGUCAUCGGGGGAGUUGGCGGGUGAUUUUCCCUUUGGUAAAAGUUGGUAAAAAAGAAAAAAGAAAAAGAAAACCAUACAGAAGGCACGCCUCCCUCUCGAUGCUCUCCACUGUAUUCUCUAGCUCUUCUUUCCUAUGGAUCUUGUCAAGCAUCACUAUUGUCAUGUUUUGGAGCUCCCAAGCUAGCUCGUCGUUGGGAAAAGAGGUAAGAAGAAGGGAACAGAGCAGCCGUCACCGUUGCCACAUGCCCGGUCUUCUAUGAGCCAACUUCUAAUGGGAUAUCUCCCGUCAAGACCUUUCUGUAGAUGUGUACAGUCAAAGUUGUACUAAAUCAGGAAUACUUGUUAGGAGGGAGUACAUGAUAUGGUCAACGUCUCUCCGGUAAGUUGGACCAGCCGUAAACAAUCUAAACAAAGUAGGACUCCGCUCGGCAAUAAUAGUAGAAGUGAUUGUGCAUUGUUACUCCCUCUAAGACAAUAUUUUCAUCAAAUGAGUCAGAUAAAGUUUCAUGUGCAAUGAUCAGUGGCAAUGAUCGCUCUGUUCCACAAACAAUCUAUCCGGUUGAAACUUUUAUGCAUGCAACCGAUCGGUACAAGCCCAGUAGAUAUACUUUUUUCCCAUGGUAUCUACUUAUUACUAUCGCUAACCUAGUAUAAUUGGCCGGGA
rnacentral:lncRNA from 1 species